rnacentral:rRNA from 1 species
GACGAACGCUGGCGGCGUGCUUAACACAUGCAAGUCGAACGGUGAAGCGCCUUCCUUUUUGGUGGGAGUGGAUGAGUGGCCAACGGGUGAGUAACACGUGAGUAACCUUCCCCCUCCUUCUGGAUAACCGCAUGAAAGUGUGGCUAAUACGGGAUAUUUUGGGUCUGUCGCAUGAUGGGUCUGGGACAGAUAUUGUUUCGGUGGGGGAUGGGCUCGCGGCCUAUCAGCUUGUUGGUGGGGUGAUGGCCUACCAAGGCGGUGACGGGUAGCCGGCCUGAGAGGGUGGACGGCCACAGAGGUAAGGCGACGCGCAGAAGACUACGGCGGGAGGCAGUAGGGGAGAUUAUGCCAGGGGGGAAGGACUGACGGUGCAGCGCCGCGGGGGGAGGGAUGGUGUCCUGAGGGUAGAAAACCUUUAUCGGGGGAGAAGAAGGGUGGCAUUGUGUGUGGGUGGGUUGACGGUAGCUGAACAGAAAGCCACGGCUAACUACGUG